UACAGAGGGGGCGAGCGUUGUUCGGAAUUACUGGGCGUAAAGGGCGCGUAGGCGGCCUUCUAAGUCGAACGUGAAAUCCCCGGGCUCAACCCGGGAACUGCGUCCGAUACUGCGAGGCUUGAGUAUAGGAGAGGGUACUGGAAUUCCCGGUGUAGCGGUGAAAUGCGCAGAGAUCGGGAGGAACACCAAUGGCGAAAGCAGGUACCUGGACUAUUACUGACGCUCAGCUGCGAAAGCUAGGGGAGCAAACAGG
rnacentral:rRNA from 1 species